CACGCCGUAAACGAUGCGCACUAGGUGACGGGACCUCUCACGGUCUCGCCGCCGAAGCAAAAGUGAUUAGUGCGCCGCCUGGGGAGUACGGCCGCAAGGCUAAAACUCAAAGGAAUUGACGGGGGCUCACACAAGCGGUGGAGCAUGUGGCUUAAUUCGAAGCAACGCGAAGAACCUUACCUGGGCUUGACAUGCUUGGAUGCUUUAUGGGGAUAACUCAUAAAGUUGCUCUUCGGAGUGAAACUUGCACAGGUGU
rnacentral:rRNA from 1 species